rnacentral:rRNA from 1 species
UGCAUGCAAGUCGAGCGACGCACACCGGAGGGGUAACCCACUGGAAUGACGGAGCGGCGAACGGGUGAGUAACACGUGAGCAACCUGCCCCGCAGACCGGGAUAGCCCAGGGAAACUUGGAUUAAUACCGGAUACCCUCGGAGGAUCGCAUGAUCCAUCGAGGAAAAGCCUUUGUGCUGUGGGAUGGGCUCGCGACUUAUCAGCUAGUUGGGGGGGUAACGGCCUACCAAGGCUUCGACGAGUAGCUGGUCUGAGAGGACGAUCACCCACACUGGAACUGAGACACGGUCCAGACUCCUACGGGAGGCAGCAGCGGGGAAUCUUGUCCAAUGGGCGAAAGCCUGAGACAGCGACCCCGCGUGGGGGAUGAAGGCCUUCGGGUUGUAAACCCCUUUCAGGAGGGAAGAAAUUGACGGUACCUCCACAAGAAGGACCGGCCAACUACGUGCCAGCAGCCGCGGUAAUACGUAGGGUCCGAGCGUUAUCCGGAAUCAUUGGGCGUAAAGAGCUCGUAGGCGGUUCAGUUAGUCGGUCGUGAAAGUCCGGGGCACAACCCCGGAAUUGCGGUCGAUACUGCUGUGACUUGAGUUCGGUAGAGGAGAAUGGAAUUCCCGGUGUAGCGGUGAAAUGCGCAUAUAUCGGGAGGAACACCAGUAGCGAAGGCGGUUCUCCGGGCCGAAACUGACGCUGAGGAGCGAAAGCGUGGGGAGCAAACAGGAUUAGAUACCCUGGUAGUCCACGCCGUAAACGUUGGAUACUAGGUGUGGCGUCCCGAUUAACGGAUGCCGUGCCGAAGCUAACGCAUUAAGUAUCCCGCCUGGGGAGUACGGCCGCAAGGCUAAAACUCAAAGGAAUUGACGGG